rnacentral:pre_miRNA from 17 species
CCUUGGGGCUGGGCCCAGGGUCACCCUCUGACUCUGCGGCCACGGGCAGACAGGGCAGAGGUGGAGUUGGGCCAGCCCUGGGG